GAACUUCCAGAAUACCUGAAUUAUCAUGGAUUUCUCCAACUCUUGAGGAUCAGUAGUAUUAACUUUCUACUCAAUGGAUGUCACAGACCCAUUUGAUGUGGGGAGAACUGGGUAAAUAUAUAAUUCAGCAGAAGUCAGCCUCCCCAGUGAGGAAGUGCAAAGCAGGGGAAAGAGCCUCCCCUCCCCCACCCUCAAUCAAGUCCAGCUGAGCAAUUAGCCUCUCCCAGGCCAUGACUUCAAGCAGGGCUUUUUCAGCUGGAACUCACCAGAACUCAGUUCCAGCACCCAUCAGGUGGGUGCCAUUUAUAACAAAACAAGGGAGGUGUUAAUGGUAAAUUCCAGCCCCUCUUUUUCUAGAAAAGUAGCGCUGAAUUUAAGAACAGCAGAAGCAGCUGAGAAGGGAGAAGAGGAGUUCUGGGAUUUAAAUAAUCAUUUUGUGAGUUGUCUGUUUGUUUUUCAAUUUGAUCCUCUUACAUAGUUUUGUAUGUAUUGUGGUAUUUUAUAAAUUGUGACUUGCAGUUAUUUUUAUUUAUCAUAGUUUAAUAAUUAUAUAUUGUAAUGGCUAAGUGUGAAUUUCUGUUUAAUUAUUAUUUGCUGAUGUUCUGAGUUUAUUUUAUUGUGUACUAUUCUAAUAGAUUAUUGAAUAUUAGUUUAUUUGAUACAAGUUGUUCCAUUUUAAAGUUAGGUUUUAUUAUGACUUGUUGUUUUGAAUCAGAUUAUUGUAAGGUGUUCUUUGUAAACCGCCUUAUGUAUAGUAAUAUUGAAAGGUGGUAUACAAGUUAAAAGUGAAGUGAAAUGAAAUCCUCAGUCAGUAGAGCAUGAAACUUUUAAUCUCAGGGUUGUGGAUUCAAGCCCCACAUUGGACAAAAGAUUCCUGCAUUGCAGGGGUUUGGACUACAUGACCCUUGUGGUCCUUUCCAGCUCUACAAUUCUGUGAUUCUAUCCCGUAGGGUAUUAACGUACCCAAUUAAUAUUCAAAAGCUGGAUUUUUAUUUCCAGUGCUAGCAGCAAUUUGGCAUUCCACAUUUGAUCAUAAUAUCUUUCCAGACAUAUGCUGUUUCCCCUUGCCAUGUUGUAUGAAUAAAGUCCCUCCCUCCCGUAGGAAGGAAAGAUUAUCCUGCAAACCAGCAAAACGCUUAAAACUAUGCUAGAGGACAUGGAACAUUAGUUUUAGUUAGGAUUUUGAACAUGAGUUUUGACCUUCCAAAUAUGCUGCAGUACAGGUACCAUUCACUGGAGAAAUCUGCAUAGACAACGUGCUUUGAAAUUUUAAAUGUUUAAAGGCUUUGAACAGGUGGCUUUGAAUGAGUAUUGCAUCCUAAGAGUGAUAAAGAGUACAGCGUAAAUGAGAGUGAUGAAAUGGUAUAGAUGAAUUUAAUGAAUAAUCUGCUUUUGCAUUGGGAUUUUUGAUUGCACAAAAGUCAAAGUAUUUCCUGGAUACACUUUUAAUGGUGGAGCAGAAUCUGAAAAUAAGGAUGGAAAUGGAAUCUGAUUUCUGUGACUGCUUUCAUCUCGGAUCAGACCCAGAUUCCCAUUGGAGAGCCAUUAAAUAAAAAAUGAUGUUUCAACUAGCCAGGUUACUCCAGAACUGCCCUACCUUCCCAAACUUACAUAAUUGAGGGAGUGUUUCUAGAGAAACCUUCCCACAACAGCUUCUUUUCCAGACUUACUGGUAUAAUACCUGAAGCAGUAUUGGGUUUUAUGCUACAUGCCUGAAGACUGAAGCAGUGGGCUGCAUGCCUGAGGUGGUGGGCAGAUAUGUGUGUCUAAACACUGAGACCUCCCCCCCCCUUUUUUUUUUCACUUUUCAGGAUAUUUCCCCAAUAGCAUGUUCCAUUCUGGUAAAGUUGGGGAAGACAAAGCAUUGGGGGGACUCUCAGGAAAUGCUUCAGUGUAAGGAGUUCUGGCUUGUGGCUUUGGAUGCUGCCACGAUUCUGCCCACUUAUGUUAUAGGUUAUAAAGGGGCAACUUGGCCAAAUAGCACAUAUUGCUGUAUAUUUUUAUAUCUAGUAGCAGACAAAUAAUAUGAACUGAUAUGGGUGCAUUUUGUUUUUCUUAAGCUGUUAUGGCCUUUGAAGCUUAAACAAUUAGAAAAUCACAUCGGAUGUAAUUGAGAGAGGCAGUAAUACAGUGGAUAAGAACGCUGAAGUGCUAGGUUUAGUUCUACUUCAACAUUUUUCAAAGAAAAAAAAGUUUGUUUCAUCACACUUUUCACUGACAGCUAAGGUUACAAUUUCUAAGACAAGGCAUGCUGUGAUGUGUCCCAAGUCAUUUUGUAAUGAAAUAGCACUACCUGAAGGCUUGUUAAAAGGAUGAACAGCAGGUGGGGAACCUGAAGCUUUCUAAAAGCAUGCAGGAAAGUUAUUGAAAAAUAAAAUUCAAGCUGAAAAUUCAUGAACUUGAGUAAGACUUUAAGAGAAGCAAGCUGUCAACCCUAGUGUUUCUGAAGCAACACUAAUCCAACAUACAUAUUCCUAUUCUCCCAAAUCCAUGGGAUGGAUCCAUAGGCAGAUGAGCAAAACUCUGUGCAUGCAACAGGGCUUUCCUGACUCCUCCCUCAUUACAGACUUUUGCACCUUGAAAAGCCACUCCUUAUAGGGCACGAAUGGUUGGAACGGGAUAGGGAAAUUGCACAAGGAGAAGAUCCUUCUGUAUGCACAAGAAUUCUCUCGAUCUGAGUCUGUGCAUUUUCCAGUGGUGUUAAUGGCAGCUGUAUGUAGGAAUGGGGCUGAGUGGGAUUCAAUUUAAUUCACAUUUGAAGGUAAAACUACCUAAAUCAACUUUCCAAAGAAAUACAUGAACCAAAAUGCAGCAACUCUUCGAAAUUCACAUUUCACUGAGUUUGCAGUGCACUUCUCCAGCCAAGUAAUGCACACAAGAAAUCAUGUUUUUGGGUAAAGUGUGCAUUAAAAUGCAUAUAUUAGUGAAAACAACAUAAUUAUAAUACGAAACAUUGGAAAAAUGUGUAUGUUAGGCAAAAGUGUGAACAAAAAUAUGUAUAGAAUAAAUUCAUCCUAAAAUAUAUUAUUUUAUUAACAGUAUUGCUACGAGUUUGUCAUGGCCAUAAACUUAUGAACUAACUAAGAACUAAGAUUUAAACAAUAAAAUGCCAAUGGAUUUUCAUGAGAGUUUUAAAAGCAACAGCAACGCUGUUUUGGAAGUACAAAGAACUAUACUAAGAUUGUGAGAAUAAGAAAGUGAAACCAAAAUGGAUGGAUUGGCCCAUCCGCAGUUAUGCACUAUGCAUAUUUCACUGAGGAGUCUUGACUUGCUAUCACAACAGAGUGCCUCCAACUCCAGAAGCAGGAGGCAGACACCAUGGAAAGAGAUAACAGCCCCACAAUGCCCCCAUUCUGGAGAAAAACAAAACAAAACAUAAAAGGGGAUUUGAGGAGUGGCCCAGAGUCCCUUCCCCAGCAGGUACAUGUGCCUCAUGAUCUAUUCCUCCAGCAUAAAAAAAAGUCUUAACAGCAUACCUUUACUAAGCCACCACCACUCUGCCUUUGCAGAAUGUUCUGCUCAGUUUACGUGUGGUGCAGAAAAGAACUUUGCCAUUAUAAUUUUCUUCAUAAACUGCAUUCUCCACUAAUGAAUCAGUGCUCAAAGUUUCACAGAAUAAAUACAAUAAUAAAUAAAUACAAUAACACAGUAUCAAUAUGUAGUAAGCCAUGUAAUAUCACAGCAACAUAACACUAAAAAAAUUCAACACAUAACAAUUCAUUUGACAUAAAUAAACAUUUAACUAAACAUAUAUCUAUUUAUUAAGCAACAGUUGUCCUUCUGGCAGCAUCUCCCUUCUGAACGCUCCUAGGGCUGGAGGAUGGGGCAAGGCAGGUGGAAAAAAGCCACCCCCUGGUGUCCAGCACAAAGUCUCUCACUCCUCCCUGCUUUCUACUCAGGUUUUCAAAUGUGGUUAUUGGUUACUUUUAAUGGCAGUUAUUGGCUACUUUUGCAUGCCACACUGACAACUCACAGUGGGUGAAACAGCUGCGUACAGUAACCUGGCAGCCUUGUCUGUACUUGUGUGUGCAGCUUGAUUAACGUUAACCCGGCUUGUUGGUGUAAACACUCAUAUGGUGGUUGUUGUUUAGUCAUUUAGUCCUGUCCGACUCUUCGUGACCCCAUGGACCAGAGCACGCCAGGCAUUCCUGUCUCAUAUGGUAGAAUCCAUCAACUCAGAGUGGUUCAAACAUGGAAUUAAAAGCACAUUCAAUCCAGCUUUCCUUUUCCCCUUUUUUAAAGAGCCAAUUUCUAUUUCUUAACCUCACUGUUCUGCAAAGAGAAGCAUAUUUACUGGGAAGGAAAUAUCCUUUGUGCCCUCUAAAUAUUUCAUGUAUCUCUAGCAACUGGGAUUCAUUUUAAUACGGUUUGAGUAAAACAUCAAUAUGAAUUUGAUUUAGAUCAAAGUGAUGUAUUGCCCAGGCUGCCAUGGAGUAAAUAGAUCAACUUUUUUUCUUCCUUCUGAUACUGAAAGGAAUUGCUUGUCCUUUAUUUAUCUCUGCCAAUGAUACAGUACAUAGCCAAGUGAGCAGAAACCACCUUUGAAUCUGAUUAGGGGAGAAAUUGCCUCACAAGUUGUAACUUUGAUGAAUUGUUAAAGAAGAGAAUGAUAUCCUCCAUACAUUAAAUUCCUGUUGGAAGGUAUUAAUUUGAUAUCUUUAUUCCCAAUUAUGGCAUGGUUCCUGGCAUUGUCUUGGAAGUCACAUGGUGAUGCAAACCUUUGCAAAGCUAAGCUAAGCAUGACUGACUCUGUCUGCAGCCUGGAUGGGAGAUCACCUGGAAAUAAGUCUCGUGAUGGGACUUAUUUCUGAAUAAACAUGCACAGCUGGGGUUCCCAACAUGCUGCCCAAUGGCACAGCAUCACCUUCAGACACCCCCCUUGUCACCUACUAAGGCCCCCUGUCACUCCCAUUUUUGAAAUAGUUAAGUGAAAUGGGGGUUGUUAACAUUUUUGGUUGUUUGGGGGCCUUUUUAUUUAGGAAGGACUGGUUUUUUUUGUUUAUGCUUUAUUUUGGGUGUGUGAGUAGGUUUUUGCCUUUUGUUUUGUGAAAUGGGUACUUUGUGGUGUCCAUGACAGUUCCUUAGAUUUCCAGAUGUGCUCUUGAGCCUAAAGAGAUUGAAGAUCCCUCAUGUACAGGAUUUCACUGUACACAAAUACAGUACAAAAAGGGGAAAGUGAGAAUAACAAAUGUGAAUCUUUAAGACAAGUCAUAUUCUGUAUGUCUAAUUCAUUUAUAUGCAAUGGAAAUAGUUAUAUAAGGAGUUGGAUGCAUAUCCAGGGAACUUGGCUUCAAGUACCCAAUCAUUCAGUGACAGUAUAAAAGGUCUAAAGAUAAAUUACAGAAAUUAGUCAUUGUGGCUCCAUUCAAUGAGCAUCUUCUGUUCGACAUCAUUGCAGUCUAACCAAAAUGAAUUUUGAGGUAACUUGCAUUCAGUGGCCAACAUAUUUGUACUGACUUCUAAAACAUCAGAUCAUUUGGGAUUUUGUUAAUAUACUCUGGUGCCCUUUGUGUAGCUAGUACAGCAAAAGUGGACAAGGAAAGAGAGGAAGUCUUAUAGACAGCAUGGCGGCUCACGGAAUGCGGUGGCACCUACCCUCUUACUGAACUCAUAAUUAAAACCAUUUAAUUUUCAACAUAUAACAAAUGCUUGCUGAAUAAAAUCAUUUCCCUGCAGCCCAUUCUUAAAGAGGGCUGUUUAAACAUUCUGCUAUACAGACAAAAAUACAAGGAUCUGCAUAGAUUAUAGGAAGAAGCCAGUUUAAUUUCUUUUACAGGAGGGGGAAAAAAAACCCUUCUCAUUUAUCUCCUGAAGAUAAUAAUUCUUUGAGGUAGAAUGUUUUGUGUUAAGCACCUUUUAAAUAAAUGUCCUUGCCAGGCAGUAACAGGCCAAUUUGACUUAUUGGAGAAACAAUAGAAACAUCAAUCACCACCAUGAGCACAAUGGAAGGAAUGAUAUGCCUCCUGCUUUCAAACAUUAACCAGUGAUGUCUUCUCAUAUGAGCUCUGUUCCCAUCAUUUACAAGUUGCAUGAAAGGCCAUAACCACUUGGGGGGUGUUGCUUAACAAUUACCCAGGUGUUCCUAUGGGAGGACAGUAUUUCAGCAACAAUGAAUGGUAAAUUCCAAUCAAUGCACAUGCACGCACACUGCCACAUUUACUCAUGUAAUGGGUUACUGCCAAGAAGCAUUUUAGAAUCCAGUUAUCAGAUGUACCCUCAUGGUGUUUACUGUCUCCUUCACCUCAAAUUCUGAAAUAUGCUCCAUAAGUACUAUGUUUUUAUGCCACUCUCAGUGGCAGAAUUUAGUCCCAUAUGUGAGACAUCUGUAACUGGGCCUCUUAACAUUUUAAAAAAACAAUUUUUAAAAAAACUUAGAUACAGGAGGCUCCAAUUUUUAUCAGAGUAGCAGUGAUGGGGAUAGUUUGUCUGUCAGAUCUGUUUGCCUAAUCUAUUUUCCCCUCCACAUCUGUUGCUAGCCCAGGUGGGUGGGUGGACUUGCUUCACGCUUUUAUUUUCCCCCAGGGACUAACAGCAGGUUUGGAGUGGAUUAAUAUCAGUAAAAUGGCAAGGGAGAGAGGGUUAAACUCCUAGCCAAUGCUCUGAUCAAAUUUGGAGCCCCCAAAUAUUGGAUCAUAUAUCUUUUGCAUCGCAUCUGUUUCAGUCAUAACAUAAAAAGUAACCUCUCAUAUACAUAGAUUGACUGGAGCUAUCUGCUGUUUCAGAAAUAAUGGAUUGCUUGUGCAAAGCUAGGAAUGAGUAAGCACCAUGGUUUUGAAAACUUACACAUCAGUCAUUACAGGCCAGUUAAUGUCUGUCCUUAUUUACUGGAUGUCACAUUUUUAAAGAUAAAAUGUAUUUUUGGAAAAGAAUCAGUAGGGCUGCUGCAAACGGAAGUCUUACCUCGCUAAUCUUUUUUUUUUUUUAAAUAUUAAGAUUUUCAAAAUAUUAC
rnacentral:lncRNA from 1 species